ensembl:lncRNA
CCUCCUUCAAAUUUGGACGCCUCGAUUGCUUGAAACUGUAUAUAAUUAGGUACCACGUACUUCAGAGCUUUACACAACUUGAAUACUGAAAAAUAUUGAAAGGGCUGAAAAAUGUGAAUAGUGAAAAAUACUGGUAUUGCAGGAUCCUGUCAUUCCAGUUCUGAAGUCUUAAAGAGGCAGGGAAUGAAGUCUAGAUGUGGCAAAAUAUGUCAGAACAAAGAACAGAAGUAAAGCAAGAGGACCGCCUGACUUAUAUUUAAUGCACACAGCCUUUUAUCUUACAAGCAGGCCUAGUCCCUAAUCUCAGUGAGGCCGCAGCAGGGCUGGUCCCCAGCUCCCCACAGCCCAGCCCUGUCCUGCCUUGGGUUCUGUCCAGACAGGGCCACCCAUGAGCCAACAGCCCAGCCUGGCCUUGGUCUGUCCCUGACUUCAUGGAUAUGUCUGUGUCCCAAGACUGGGGCUGCCCCCAUGCCCCCUACCUGCUUGGCUCCUGGCUGGGGCUGUGGGAAGGGAUGAGCUGCCAUGCCCUGCCUGAGGCCCUGAUGGGCCCUGCCACACUCAGCCUUGGUUCACAGGGAAUCACCAGCCUUUGCUGUUCCCUGGUGUGAAUUUGAUAUUUAUCUUCUCCAUCUUGGUAGAGAGUCAUCUGGGCUGCAUCAAAAGAAGUGUGGCCAGGAGGUCAAGGGAGAUGAUCCUGCCCCUCUACUCCGCAUAGGUGAGACCUCACCUGGAGUACUGCGUCCAGAUGUGGAGUCUUCAAUACAGGAGAGACAUGAACUUGUUGGAGCAUGCCCAGAGAAGGGUCACAAAAAUCGUCCAAGGGUGGGAACAUCUCCCCUAGGAGGACAGGCUGACAGAGCUGGGGCUGUUCAGCCUGGAGAAGAGAAGGCCACUGUCAGUGGUCUUUCAAUAUCUACAGAGGAGCCAUAGGAAGGAAGGGGACAGACUCUUUAGGAGGGUCUGUCGUGAUAGGAUGAGAAGACAUGGUUUCAAACUAAAAGAGAGUGAGAUUUAGACUGGAUAUAAGGAAGAAGUUAUUUACAGUGAAGAUGGUGAGGCACCAAAACAGGUUGCCCAGAGAGGUGGUGGAUGCCCAAUUCCUUGGAGACAUUCAAGGUCAGGCUGGACAGUGCUCUGAGCAACCUGAUCUAGCUGUAGGUGUCUCAGUUCAUUAAAGAGGAGUCUCUUCCAAUUCAAAAGAUUCUAUUAUCUCUUUUCCUUCAUAAUUAAAUACCUAGUGUCUGAUACUUAGAUGACAGGCAGACUUUGUCAUUACUGCUCUCCUAAACAUGAUGUUUUUAGGCAUGGCAUCAGGUUUCUGGUGCAUGGGAGUAGAGAAGUUUUCACUCAUUUUCUUUGGGUCUAUUAAACCUCCCAGUGUAAGCAAGUGACAAGAAAACACCCUCCAAAUGUAAAAAUGCUCCUCUACUUGCCUUUGGUAGACUAUUUCACUGUUUGAGGAACAAGAGAAAAAAAACUGAAAGCAAUACAUUUAAAACAAACACUUUCAGCUGCUGUGUUACUGUCCACAGACAGAACCAUAUGAAAACACUACGCAGUAAUAGCUAAGCAGAAUAGAAGAUACCUUCACCCUCUUUCAGUUCUAAGUAGUGUCAGUAGCUGGCAGCCUGUUUGUUCUGUAAUAGAUGACUUUCUCUGCUGUUUCACAACAAGCAUUUCUUUCACAUACCAUCCUUCAAUCUCUGUGUAACUGUGCAAGUUGGAUAAUGUCUUAUAAUAACAAUUCAACAAGGCAUAUGUGGAGCUUAGUAAAUAACUUGAAAAAACUCAAUUCAGAAUCAAUUAUGAGUUCAAUUACUCAAAUAUGAAUUCAAC